AGCAUCAAGAGAACCUUUCCCUAAUAUUAGAGGACUGAGAAGGACACACAUUUGGUGUACCACUUAUUGUACCCACUGUAAAUAUAUAUUAAGUAGUCAAGUGCAAAGUAAGUAGAUAACUACUGAAAGCAUCUAAGUAAAAAACUCAUCCCAAGAUGAGUGCU
rfam:Populus trichocarpa isolate Nisqually-1 chromosome 11, whole genome shotgun sequence.